UCAGGUGGCCGCAGAGAAUAGGCCCAAGCGACUGUUUACCAAAAACAUAGGUUUCUGCUAAGUCGCAAGACGAUGUAUAGGAGCUGACGCCUGCCCGGUGCUGGAAGGUUAAGGGGAUCUGUUAGAGUAAUCGAAGCAGUGAACUUAAGCCCCAGUAAACGGCGGCCGUAACUAUAACGGUCCUAAGGUAGCGAAAUUCCUUGUCGGGUAAGUUCCGACCCGCACGAAAGGCGUAACGAUUUGGGCACUGUCUCA
rnacentral:rRNA from 1 species